ACGGAAGGCAGCAGUGGGGAAUAUUGCACAAUGGGGGAAACCCUGAUGCAGCGACGCCGCGUGAGUGAAGAAGUAUUUCGGUAUGUAAAGCUCUAUCAGCAGGAAAGAAAAUGACGGUACCUGACUAAGAAGCCCCGGCUAACUACGUGCCAGCAGCCGCGGUAAUACGUUGGGGGCAAGCGUUAUCCGGAUUUACUGGGUGUAAAGGGAGCGUAGACGGCUUUGCAAGUCUGAAGUGAAAGCCCGGGGCUCAACCCCGGAACUGCUUUGGAAACUGUAGAGCUAGAGUGCAGGAGAGGUAAGUGGAAUUCCUAGUGUAGCGGUGAAAUGCGUAGAUAUUAGGAGGAACACCAGUGGCGAAGGCGGCUUACUGGACUGUAACUGACGUUGAGGCUCGAAGGCGUGGGGAGCAAACAGGAUUAGAUACCCUGGUA
rnacentral:rRNA from 1 species